rnacentral:rRNA from 1 species
AUUGAACGCUGGCGGCAUGCCUUACACAUGCAAGUCGAACGGCAGCACGGGUGCUUGCCCCUGGUGGCGAGUGGCGCACGGGUGAGUAAUACAUCGGAACAUGUCCUGUAGUGGGGGAUAGCCCGGCGAAAGCCGGAUUAAUACCGCAUACGAUCUACGGAUGAAAGCGGGGGACCUUCGGGCCUCGCGCUAUAGGGUUGGCCGAUGGCUGAUUAGCUAGUUGGUGGGGUAAAGGCCUACCAAGGCGACGAUCAGUAGCUGGUCUGAGAGGACGACCAGCCACACUGGGACUGAGACACGGCCCAGACUCCUACGGGAGGCAGCAGUGGGGAAUUUUGGACAAUGGGCGAAAGCCUGAUCCAGCAAUGCCGCGUGUGUGAAGAAGGCCUUCGGGUUGUAAAGCACUGUUGUCCGGAAAGAAAUCCUUGGCUCUAAUACAGUCGGGGGAUGACGGUACCGGAAGAAUAAGCACCGGCUAACUACGUG